rnacentral:rRNA from 1 species
UACGGAGGGAGCUAGCGUUGUUCGGAAUUACUGGGCGUAAAGCGUACGUAGGCGGUUAUUCAAGUCAGAGGUGAAAGCCCGGGGCUCAACCCCCGGAACUGCCUUUGAAACUAGAUAGCUAGAAUCUUGGAGAGGUCAGUGGAAUUCCGAGUGUAGAGGUGAAAUUCGUAGAUAUUCGGAAGAACACCAGUGGCGAAGGCGACUGACUGGACAAGUAUUGACGCUGAGGUACGAAAGCGUGGGGAGCAAACAGGGAUUAGAACC